UGGAUCCAGACUUUGAUCAUGGCUCAGGACGAACGCUGGCGGCAUGCCUAACACAUGCAAGUCGAACGGAGUUAUCUAUUUGGAUCCCUUCGGGGUGACGGAUUUUUACCUUAGUGGCGGACGGGUGAGUAACGCGUGAGGAACCUGCCUUUCAGAGGGGGAUAACGUCUGGAAACGGACGCUAAUACCGCAUAACAUAAUGCUGUGGCAUCACAGGAUUAUCAAAGGAGCAAUCCGCUGGAAGAUGGCCUCGCGUCUGAUUAGAUAGUUGGCGGGGUAACGGCCCACCAAGUCGACGAUCAGUAGCCGGACUGAGAGGUUGAACGGCCACAUUGGGACUGAGACACGGCCCAGACUCCUACGGGAGGCAGCAGUGGGGGAUAUUGCACAAUGGGCGAAAGCCUGAUGCAGCAAUGCCGCGUGAGGGAAGAAGGUUUUCGGAUUGUAAACCUCUGUCCCUGAUGACGAAGACAGUGACGGUAAUCAGGGAGGAAGCCACGGCUAACUACGUGCCAGCAGCCGCGGUAAUACGUAGGUGGCAAGCGUCGUCCGGAAUUACUGGGUGUAAAGGGAGCGCAGGCGGGAAGGCAAGUCAGCGGUUAAAACUAUGGGCUCAACCCAUAGACUGCCGUUGAAACUGUUUUUCUUGAGUGAAGUAGAGGCAGGCGGAAUUCCGAGUGUAGCGGUGAAAUGCGUAGAUAUUCGGAGGAACACCAGUGGCGAAGGCGGCCUGCUGGGCUUUUACUGACGCUGAGGCUCGAAAGUGUGGGGAGCAAACAGGAUUAGAUACCCUGGUAGUCCACACCGUAAACGAUGAUUGCUAGGUGUGGGGGGUCUGACCCCCUCCGUGCCGGAGUUAACACAAUAAGCAAUCCACCUGGGGAGUACGGCCGCAAGGUUGCAACUCAAAGGAAUUGACGGA
rnacentral:rRNA from 1 species